UUCUAUAUAUACUCGAAGACCUAGUUUGAGUGAAGCUCAAACCAGCCGCAUCAAACCCUAACCCUAAAUUUUUUCUUCUUCUUCUCUGAUCUCUUCGGCGCCGGAGCUCUUCUUCUCCGAUCUGAUUCCGUCGCCGCCUCUCUUCUUCUUCUUCUCUAAUCUGUUAUACUCAUCGCCGCCUCUCUUCUUCUCCGAUCUAAUUACGGCGCAGACUCUCUUCGCCGCCUCUCUUCUUCUUCGAUCUGUGCUCCAGAACCGCCGCGGCUCUUCUUCUCUGACUCGAUCUGUUUGGCCUCAAAGGUAACCUCUGUUUCUCCGAUCUAAGUUCUUCUCUCAAAUCUGACCUAUUCUUCUUCGAUCCGAUCUUACUUCUUUUUUCCCAGAUCUAACACUUGAUUUGUUUUUUGUGCAAGAUGCCGUCGGAUAAUACUUAUGUCCGGUUUAGACAACAGCAGCGUGACCCGUUGCAUGUCAAUUCUCCGCUUAGUGGUGGGAAUAUCUCAGGGGUUCAAGGUUCAGGUUCAGGUUCAACCGUUCCACCAUCGCCUCCAACGCCAACGACUCAGCCUUCUGUCAAUCAUUCUGAUGUUCAAGCUGACCGUCUCAACAAUCUGACACUGGAAGAGCUCCUCGAUAGUCCUGGUCGUGCUGGCUUGACAAGGCUAGACCCAAAGCGUCCUCCGGGAACUCUAUGGUAAGGUUAAGCUUAUAGUCUCUGGAAUUAGGUCUUGUAAGUUGGUUAGUUCUGCUUUAGAAGUUUGGUUCUGCCUUAGAAGUCUCUGGAUUUAGGUUGGUUCUGCCUUAGAAGUUUGGUCCUGCCUUAGAAGUCUCUGGAUUUAGGUUGGUUGUACUUAGCAUUGUAGUUUCUUAGAAGUAUAAAGACAUAGAGAUCCUUAUGUGUUUUGUUGCUGUUAUUGUAGGUUUGACGAUGACUCUACAAUUGCAGCAACAGUCCGCAGCAUAUUUGAAAGAGAUUUCAAAGAACCUCAUGCCAAUUGGUCACAGACAUCAAAGGCUACAAUCGAUCGAUGGUAUGAAACGUUUGCGGUAAGUUUUGUGCUCUUUUGAUGUUUAUGCUUGUUUUGUUUGCUUUGUCUGUUUUGUUUGCUUUGCUUUGUCUAUUUUGUAGUCUGAUGUUUGAUGUUUGCUUUGUCUGUUUUGUAGCAAGUAUAUAACUGGGACCGUUCAAUUAACAAAAGAGUAAGGGUUGAGUUUGAAGCAAAGCUAAAGUCUAGGAUGUCUGAUCAAGUGUCAAGGUGGAAGGGAAAUUGGAAGGAGAAGGGUGAUGAAGCCAAGCCAAAAUGGAUUGAUCCUGAUGUGUGGAAAGGUCUAGUACAGUUUUGGCAAGAUCCAAAGUCAGAGAAAAAGAGUAACAACAGCAGAAAUGCUAGAUAUCAUGAUCCGGAUGGCAAAGGCAUCUAUAAACACCGUUCAGGCCAGACCUCUUACAAAGCUCGUGCAAGAAAACGGGUAAGAUAAGUAUUCUUCUCUCCUUACCAUUACUUAAACUACAAUGUUAUGAAUCUAACUUGUUUAUCUCUUUGUGUUUCAGUGUGAGAAGACUGGAGAAACAACUCCUGAUUUCCUAGAGCUGCUAGAUGAGACACACAGAAAAGCGGAUGGAACUUUCAUCGAUGGGAAGUCAGAGGAAAUUUACAAGCAAGUGACAUCUAGGAUAGAAGAGGAAGAGUCUCAUAUGUGCUCAGUGGACAAUCCGGAGAGCACUGGAUCAGGUGGAUUGUCUGUUCAUGCCAAGAACAAGAUUUUUACUGAGGUAAAUCUUCUGUGCUUUUUCUUUGCAGCUUGUUGUGUACUUGUAAGCUUGUCUGAAUUCUGUUGUGUACUUGUCUGAAAUGUUUGUGUUGUGUCUCUAGUCUUUGAUAUCAAGUUCUCGUAAUCUUGGCAGCUUAUUCAUUAUACUUUGUGUCUGAAUUCUUUGUGUUGUGUACUUGUCUGAAUUCUGUUGUGUACUUGGCAGCUGAAUUCAGUUCUGUUGUGUACUUCUGUACUUGUCUGAAUUCUUUAGUGUACUUGUCUGAAGUGUUUGUGUUGUGUACUUGUCUGAAAUGUUUGUGUUGUGUCGCUAGUGUUUGAUAUAAAGUUCUCUUAGUCUUGGCAGCUUAUUCAUUAUACUUUGUGUCUGAAUUCUUUUGAACUUGGUUUCUCAUGGUUUUUCUGUUGUGUCCUUGUGAGUGUUUGUGAUCUUUGCAGGUUGCUCCGCGAAAGAAAGGAAGGAUUUAUGGGGUUGGAUCUCUGCAGUUUGAAGCAUCCUCAGCCCAUAGUGGUCCAAUGCUUCCUAGUGAUGAUUCGGUCAUACUUUCUCAGAAGCUGGCUGCCGCUGAAGCAUGCAUUCAAUCUCAGGCUGAGAGGAUCAAUAGCUUCGACAUCCUGUUUGACUAUCUUGCUGAAAAAGAUCCUGCUUUGGCUGCAAUUCUUCGACGUGGUUCCUCGACACAGACAGGACAAGCCAACCCAAAUGAACCACCUGUGUCUACUGCUCCAGAACCGCAGGUGGCCAAUGAGGAGACAGCAGCUGCUGCCCUAGCUAACCUUGCAACAGGAUCCUCUCCUCUAUCAACUGUAUUUUGAAAACAUUGUCUUGCUUUUUCCUUGUUAUCUCUCUUUAGAACAAGUUCUUAGAGUUUCAAACAAUCUAAUAU
rnacentral:sRNA from 1 species